rnacentral:rRNA from 1 species
CCUACGGGAGGCAGCAGUGGGGAAUAUUGCACAAUGGGGGGAACCCUGAUGCAGCAAUGCCGCGUGAAGGAUGAAGGUUUUCGGAUUGUAAACUUCUUUUGUACGGGACGAAGAAAGUGACGGUACCGUAAGAAAAAGCAUCGGCUAACUCCGUGCCAGCAGCCGCGGUAAUACGGAGGAUGCGAGCGUUAUCCGGAUUCAUUGGGUUUAAAGGGUGCGCAGGCGGGCCUUUAAGCCGGCGGUGAAAUCGCGGGGCUCAACCCCGCCGAGCCGGCGGAACUGGGGG